UACUAGAGUAGCACUCGCAUAUCAAUAAGCGGAGGAAAAGAAACUAACAAGGAUUCCCCUAGUAACGGCGAGUGAAGCGGGAAGAGCUCAAAUUUGAAAUCUUAAAGGGUUUCCCUUUACGAAUUGUAGUUUAAAGAAGUGUUUUCUGUUGAGGUUUUGGUAAAAGUUCUUUGGAAUAGGACAUCAUAGAGGGUGAGAAUCCCGUAUUUGACCUUUACUUUCAACUUUGUGAUACACUUUCAAAGAGUCGGAUUGUUUGGGAAUGCAGUCCAAAAUGGGUGGUAAAUUUCAUCUAAAGCUAAAUAUUGGCGAGAGACCGAUAGCGAACAAGUACCGUGAGGGAAAGAUGAAAAGAACUUUGAAAAGAGAGUUAAACAGUACGUGAAAUUGUCAAAAGGGAAGCGUUUGACACCAGUGUUGUUUUUCUGAAAAUCAAUUAAAGAACUGUUUAUGCUAAGUUGUUUAGACUUUAUCAGCUAUCUGUUUAGUUUUGAGCUUUUCUUUAAUGCACUUUUCAGUUAACAAGUCAACAUCAAUUUCUUUUGCUGUAAUAAAGCUUGAGGAAGGUGGCUUGAGAUUCGUCUUAAGUGUUUAUAGCCUCUUGCCUAUGCAGUCGGAGAGAUUGAGGUCUGCAGCGUAGAUCCUUCGGGGCUAAAUGCAUUUGUGCUAAGUUAUAGCAUUUUAUAGACAACUUGUUGACUAUGAUUUGUCUUGUAGCUUACUCGCUUAUGUUAUUUUACCUACGCUUAGGAUGUUGAGCGCAUGUCUCUCUCU
rnacentral:rRNA from 1 species